UAAGUUGGGGAUAACUCCGGGAAACCGGGGCUAAUACCGAAUGAUAGAAUGUGGCGCAUGCCACGCUUUUGAAAGAUGGUUUCGGCUAUCGCUUACAGAUGGGCCCGCGGUGCAUUAGCUAGUUGGUAGGGUAAUGGCCUACCAAGGCAACGAUGCAUAGCCGACCUGAGAGGGUGAUCGGCCACACUGGGACUGAGACACGGCCCAGACUCCUACGGGAGGCAGCAGUAGGGAAUCUUCCGCAAUGGACGAAAGUCUGACGGAGCAACGCCGCGUGUAUGAAGAAGGUUUUCGGAUCGUAAAGUACUGUUGUUAGAGAAGAACAAGGAUAAGAGUAACUGCUUGUCCCUUGACGGUAUCUAACCAGAAAGCCACGGCUAACUACGUGCCAGCAGCCGCGGUAAUACGUAGGUGGCAAGCGUUGUCCGGAUUUAUUGGGCGUAAAGCGCGCGCAGGCGGUCUUUUAAGUCUGAUGUGAAAGCCCCCGGCUUAACCGGGGAGGGUCAUUGGAAACUGGAAGACUGGAGUGCAGAAGAGGAGAGUGGAAUUCCACGUGUAGCGGUGAAAUGCGUAGAUAUGUGGAGGAACACCAGUGGCGAAGGCGACUCUCUGGUCUGUAACUGACGCUGAGGCGCGAAAGCGUGGGGAGCAAACAGGAUU
rnacentral:rRNA from 1 species